rnacentral:lncRNA from 1 species
UUGGGAUAUCUAAUUCUUAAAAGUGGAUUAUGGAUGAUAACAGACAUUUAUCUGUGGUUGCAGUCAAACAUUUUCGAACACUGAAAGGAACUUUAUGAACUAGUAGUUUUUUCAAGUGGUAGAUAGAUGGGGAUAUCACACGAAUAUGCCAAACAAAGAUAUCACAUGUGUACACCUGUCUUCAGCUUUGUACCAUCCAUAUUUUGAUUCGUGUACCAAAGUUUCGAUCUGAGCCGAAAACUACGGCUGAGUUGCUUCGUCGGGUUGACCGUUGACUCAACCAUGGUUCAAAAUUCAACAUGUCCGGAAUACUUGUCGCGAACAAGUGGAGAACAAAUCAUGAAAGCGCAGUCCGAGGCAGAAUGCAUCUCACCGAGGAAACAUCCGGAGGUGUGUGAGGUUUUGAUGAUUUCAAACAUCAUUUUUCCCUGACGUUAAGCCCAUCUACAGAUUUCUCUCGAUGCACUGAUCAACUGAUCGGAGGACGCCAACCUUCUUUUUCUGUUGCCUCUCCGCUGCUUUGCACCUGUUCGAACGUUCCCGCAUCGCUCUUGCUCUCUCCCUGCCCUCUCCUUCACGUUUCGCUGCGUUUCCCAAGAACAGGAACACCGAUGGGGGGAGAGAGAGCGAGCGAGGAGCAACGUUGACAACACGGAUCUAACACCCCGCCGGCCAUUAAAUUUGUGUCGUGUUUUCCGCCUUCCUUUGUUGUUCAUUGGUAACACGUAAUCGUUGACCACAGUGCCGGUCGGCGCUUUAAAUGCCGACUAAGUGGCGUCGUUUGGGAGGCUAACCAGACAGGGAAC